GGCCCAUAGUUCAGUGGUUAAACAUCUGCCUUGCAUGCAGAAGGUCUCUGGUUCAAUCCCUGGCAUCUCCA